UGAAAAUUAUAUAUAAAAAAUUGUUAGUUAGAGGAGGUGGGCAUACUGCCAACUGAUCUAUGUUGGUUUCACUUUGUAAAACCCUCAUGAAUAAUUUUCCACAACUGUCUCAAAAUCAAGGUUUUGUUGGAAUCUCUAUGUGAAAAUCCAAUCAAAGGCAGAUGAAUAUAUAUGGAGGCCUAUUAUCGUUCAUUAAUUUCCUCUAAUGGAAGGACGUUGAUGAAGAUUUUGCCCUUUUCCGGAAAAUAAAAGUUAAACAUGGAAAAAGCUUAUGCAAAUUACACAGAGUGGUAGGGCAAAAAGGAAGAAUAUAUUUUUAGUGCUUUUGGUUUUACAGUGGUUUUAAUGUAGGCUCAUGAUUGAUUUUUCUGACAAUUUAGAUAAAAUAAUCGUAGCAUUUAAGGCGUUUUAAUUUGUAUAGGUUAUUAAUCUUCUCAAAUACUACAUGGCUAGUUCAAGAUCAUUUGACAUCCAUUUUUAAAUUUCAAAUUUUAAAAUAUU